rnacentral:rRNA from 1 species
UACGGAGGGUGCAAGCGUUAUCCGGAAUCACUGGGCUUAAAGGGUGCGUAGGCGGUUUUAUAAGUCAGGGGUGAAAGCAUGCAGCUUAACUGUAUAAUUGCCUUUGAUACUGUAAGACUUGAAUAAGGUUGAGGUUGGCGGAAUGUGACAUGUAGCGGUGAAAUGCUUAGAUAUGUCAUAGAACACCGAUUGCGAAGGCAGCUGACUGGGCCGUUAUUGACGCUGAGGCACGAAAGCGUGGGGAGCGAACAGG